AGAGUUUGAUCCUGGCUCAGGAUGAACGCUAGCUACAGGCUUAACACAUGCAAGUCGAGGGGCAGCAUUUUAGUUUGCUUGCAAACUAAAGAUGGCGACCGGCGCACGGGUGAGUAACACGUAUCCAACCUGCCGAUAACUCGGGGAUAGCCUUUCGAAAGAAAGAUUAAUAUCCGAUAGUAUAUUAAAACCGCAUGGUUUUACUAUUAAAGAAUUUCGGUUAUCGAUGGGGAUGCGUUCCAUUAGUUUGUUGGCGGGGUAACGGCCCACCAAGACUACGAUGGAUAGGGGUUCUGAGAGGAAGGUCCCCCACAUUGGAACUGAGACACGGUCCAAACUCCUACGGGAGGCAGCAGUGAGGAAUAUUGGUCAAUGGACGAGAGUCUGAACCAGCCAAGUAGCGUGAAGGAUGACUGCCCUAUGGGUUGUAAACUUCUUUUAUAUGGGAAUAAAGUAUUCCACGUGUGGGAUUUUGUAUGUACCAUAUGAAUAAGGAUCGGCUAACUCCGUGCCAGCAGCCGCGGUAAUACGGAGGAUCCGAGCGUUAUCCGGAUUUAUUGGGUUUAAAGGGAGCGUAGGUGGAUUGUUAAGUCAGUUGUGAAAGUUUGCGGCUCAACCGUAAAAUUGCAGUUGAAACUGGCAGUCUUGAGUACAGUAGAGGUGGGCGGAAUUCGUGGUGUAGCGGUGAAAUGCUUAGAUAUCACGAAGAACUCCGAUUGCGAAGGCAGCUCACUAGACUGCAACUGACACUGAUGCUCGAAAGUGUGGGUAUCAAACAGGAUUAGAUACCCUGGUAGUCCACACAGUAAACGAUGAAUACUCGCUGUUUGCGAUAUACAGUAAGCGGCCAAGCGAAAGCAUUAAGUAUUCCACCUGGGGAGUACGCCGGCAACGGUGAAACUCAAAGGAAUUGACGGGGGCCCGCACAAGCGGAGGAACAUGUGGUUUAAUUCGAUGAUACGCGAGGAACCUUACCCGGGCUUAAAUUGCAUUUGAAUAAUCUGGAAACAGGUUAGCCGCAAGGCAAAUGUGAAGGUGCUGCAUGGUUGUCGUCAGCUCGUGCCGUGAGGUGUCGGCUUAAGUGCCAUAACGAGCGCAACCCUUAUCUUUAGUUACUAACAGGUCAUGCUGAGGACUCUAGAGAGACUGCCGUCGUAAGAUGUGAGGAAGGUGGGGAUGACGUCAAAUCAGCACGGCCCUUACGUCCGGGGCUACACACGUGUUACAAUGGGGGGUACAGAAGGCAGCUACCUGGCGACAGGAUGCUAAUCCCAAAAACCUCUCUCAGUUCGGAUCGAAGUCUGCAACCCGACUUCGUGAAGCUGGAUUCGCUAGUAAUCGCGCAUCAGCCAUGGCGCGGUGAAUACGUUCCCGGGCCUUGCACACACCGCCCGUC
rnacentral:rRNA from 1 species